UGCCAGCAGCCGCGGUAAUACGAAGGGUGCUAGCGUUGUUCGGAAUUACUGGGCGUAAAGCGCGCGUAGGCGGCUAAAUCAGUCGGGUGUGAAAGCCCUGGGCUCGACCUGGGAACUGCAUUCGAUACUGUUUGGCUUGAGUAUGGGAGAGGGUAGUGGAAUUCCACGUGUAGCGGUGAAAUGCGUAGAUAUGUGGAGGAACACCAGUGGCGAAGGCGACUGCCUGGCCCAAUACUGACGCUGAGGUGCGAAAGCGUGGGGAGCAAACAGGAUUAGAUA
rnacentral:rRNA from 1 species